rnacentral:rRNA from 1 species
CCCUUAGAUGUUCUGGGCCGCACGCGCGCGACACUGACGAAGUCAGCGAGCAUGUCCUACGCCGACAGGUGCGGGGAAUCUUGUCAAACUUCGUCGUGAUGGGGAUUGAUUAUUGAAAUUCUUGAUCAUCAACGAGGAAUUCCUAGUAAGCGCAAGUCAGCAGCUUGCGUUGAUUACGUCCCUGCCCUUUGUACACACCGCCCGUCGCUACUACCGAUUGAAUGGUUUAGUGAGAUCUUCGGAUUGGCGCCACUGCGGCUCAGCAAUGGGCUCGGUGGAUGCCGAAAAGUUGAUCAAACUUGAUCAUUUAGAGGAAGUAAAAGUCGUAACA